GACGAACGCUGGCGGCGUGCUUAACACAUGCAAGUCGAACGGAAAGGCCCUGCUUGGGUGGGGGGCGCGAGUGGCGAAGGGGUGAGUAACACGUGAGUAACCUGCCCUGGACUUGGGGAUAACUUCAGGAAACUGGGGCUAAUACCGGAUAGGAGCUCCUGCUGCAGGGGGGGGGUUGGAAAGUGUCGGCUUGUGGGGAUGGACGCGCGGCUUAUCAGCUUGUUGGUGGGGGAGUGGCUUACCAAGGCUUUGACGGGUAGCCGGCAUGAGAGCGUGACCGGCCACCUUGGGCCUGCGAUAGGGCGCAGACUGCUACGGGAGGCAGUAGUGGGGACUCUUGCCCAAUGGGCGGACGCCCGAUGAAGAAACGCCGCGUGCGGGAUCACCGCCUUCGGGUUGUAAACCGCUUUCGGCUGUGACGCCGCGUGAGUGACGGUACUGGGUAAAGAAGCACCGGCUAACUACGUG
rnacentral:rRNA from 1 species